UACGAAGGGGGCUAGCGUUGCUCGGAAUCACUGGGCGUAAAGGGUGCGUAGGCGGGUUUUUAAGUCAGGGGUGAAAUCCUGGAGCUCAACUCCAGAACUGCCUUUGAUACUGGGGAUCUCGAGUCCGGAAGAGGUUGGUGGAACUGCGAGUGUAGAGGUGAAAUUCGUAGAUAUUCGCAAGAACACCAGUGGCGAAGGCGGCCAACUGGUCCGGUACUGACGGCUGAGGUGCGAAAGCGUGGGGAGCAAACAGG
rnacentral:rRNA from 1 species